CCUACGGGAGGCAGCAGUGAGGAAUAUUGGACAAUGGGAGCAAUCCUGAUCCAGCCAUGCCGCGUGCAGGAAGACUGCCCUAUGGGUUGUAAACUGCUUUUAUACAGGAAGAAAAAGCCCGACGUGUCGGGUGUUGACGGUACUGUAAGAAUAAGGAUCGGCUAACUCCGUGCCAGCAGCCGCGGUAAUACGGAGGAUCCAAGCGUUAUCCGGAAUCAUUGGGUUUAAAGGGUCCGUAGGCGGGACAAUAAGUCAGUGGUGAAAGUCUGCAGCUCAACUGUAGAAUUGCCAUUGAUACUGUUGUUCUUGAGUGCUUGUGAAGUGGUUAGAAUGAGUAGUGUAGCGGUGAAAUGCAUAGAUAUUACUCAGAAUACCGAUUGCGAAGGCAGAUCACUAACAAUUCACUGACGCUGAUGGACGAAAGCGUAGGUAGCGAACAGGAUUAGAUACCCUGGUAGUCUACGCCGUAAACGAUGGUUACUAGCUGUUCGGAUCAAUUGAGAUCUGAGUGGCUAAGCGA
rnacentral:rRNA from 2 species